UACGUAGGGGGCAAGCGUUGUCCGGAAUCAUUGGGCGUAAAGCGCGUGUAGGCGGCCCGGUAAGUCCGCUGUGAAAGUCGGGGGCUCAACCCUCGGAUGCCGGUGGAUACUGUCGGGCUCGAGUACGGAAGAGGCGAGUGGAAUUCCUGGUGUAGCGGUGAAAUGCGCAGAUAUCAGGAGGAACACCAAUUGCGAAGGCAGCUCGCUGGGACGUCACUGACGCUGAGACGCGAAAGCGUGGGGAGCAAACAGG
rnacentral:rRNA from 1 species